GUCAUAUGCUUGUCUCAAAGAUUAAGCCAUGCAUGUCUCAGUACAAGCCAAAUUAAGGUGAAACCGCGAAAGGCUCAUUAAAUCAGUUAUGGUUCCUUAGAUCGUACCCACAAUUACUUGGAUAACUGUGGUAAUUCUAGAGCUAAUACAUGCAAACAGAGCUCCGACCGGAGACGGAAGGAGUGCUUUUAUUAGAUCAAAACCAAUCGGUGGCGGGUUCGCGCUCGUUAUCGUACAACUUGGUGACUCUGAAUAACUUUACGCUGAUCGCACGGUCAUCGCACCGGCGACGCAUCUUUCAAAUGUCUGCCUUAUCAACUGUCGAUGGUAGGUUCUGCGCCUACCAUGGUUGUAACGGGUAACGGGGAAUCAGGGUUCGAUUCCGGAGAGGGAGCCUGAGAAACGGCUACCACAUCCAAGGAAGGCAGCAGGCGCGCAAAUUACCCACUCCCGGCACGGGGAGGUAGUGACGAAAAAUAACGAUACGGGACUCAUCCGAGGCCCCGUAAUCGGAAUGAGUACACUCUAAACCCUUUAACGAGGAUCAAUUGGAGGGCAAGUCUGGUGCCAGCAGCCGCGG
rnacentral:rRNA from 9 species